rnacentral:rRNA from 1 species
CCUCUGCUUGCAGGGGUACUCGAGUGGCGAACGGGUGAGUAACACGUGGGUGAUCUGCCCUGCACUUUGGGAUAAGCCUGGGAAACUGGGUCUAAUACCAGAUAGGACCACGUCUUGGAUGGUGUGGUGGAAAGUUUUUUCGGUGUGGGAUGAGCUCGCGGCCUAUCAGCUUGUUGGUGGGGUAAUGGCCUACCAAGGCGUCGACGGGUAGCCGGCCUGAGAGGGUGUACGGCCACAUUGGGACUGAGAUACGGCCCAGACUCCUACGGGAGGCAGCAGUGGGGAAUAUUGCACAAUGGGCGCAAGCCUGAUGCAGCGACGCCGCGUGGGGGAUGACGGCCUUCGGGUUGUAAACUCCUUUCGCCAGGGACGAAGCGUCAGUGACGGUACCUGGAUAAGAAGCACCGGCUAACUACGUGCCAGCAGCCGCGGUAAUACGUAGGGUGCGAGCGUUGUCCGGAAUUACUGGGCGUAAAGAGCUCGUAGGUGGUUUGUCGCGUCGUUUGUGUAAUACCGCAGCUUAACUGCGGGGUUGCAGGCGAUACGGGCAUAACUUGAGUGCUGUAGGGGAGACUGGAAUUCCUGGUGUAGCGGUGGAAUGCGCAGAUAUCAGGAGGAACACCGAUGGCGAAGGCAGGUCUCUGGGCAGUAACUGACGCUGAGGAGCGAAAGCAUGGGUAGCGAACAGGAUUAGAUACCCUGGUAGUCCAUGCCGUAAACGGUGGGCGCUAGGUGUGAGUCCCUUCCACGGGGUUCGUGCCGUAGCUAACGCAUUAAGCGCCCCGCCUGGGGAGUACGGCCGCAAGGCUAAAACUCAAAGGAAUUGACGGGGGCCCGCACAAGCGGCGGAGCAUGUGGAUUAAUUCGAUGCAACGCGAAGAACCUUACCUGGGCUUGACAUGCACCGGAUCGCUGCAGAGAUGUAGCUUCCCUUGUGGCUGGUGUACAGGUGGUGCAUGGUUGUCGUCAGCUCGUGUCGUGAGAUGUUGGGUUAAGUCCCGCAACGAGCGCAACCCUUGUCUUAUGUUGCCAGCAUUUGGUUGGGGACUCAUGAGAGACUGCCGGGGUUAAC